CCUACGGGAGGCAGCAGUGGGGAAUAUUGCACAAUGGGGGAAACCCUGAUGCAGCGAUGCCGCGUGAGUGAAGAAGUCUUUCGGUAUGGAAAGCUCUAUCAGCAGGGGAGAAAAUAACGGUACCUGAAUAAGAAGCCCCGGCUAACUACGUGCCAGCAGCCGCGGUACUACGUAGGGGGCAACCGUUAUCCGGAUUUACUGGGUGUAAAGGGGGCGUAGACGGCUGGACAAGUCAGGAGUGAAAUGCCGGGGCUUAACCCCGGAACUGCUUUGAAAACUGUGGAGCUAGAGAGCAGGUGCGGUAAGUGGAAUUUCUGGUGUAGCGGUGAAAUGCGUAGAUAUCA
rnacentral:rRNA from 1 species